UACCAUCUCUCUCUCUUGCCUUUAACCCAAGGCAUUUUACCCAUCCAUUUUUUUACCACGCACGCCUCUUUUUCUCUCUACGCUAACUUCCCCGAGCUCCCUCCCUCACUGUAUCCCCGCCCUCCUUACCACGCGCUUCUCUCUCUCUGCGCUGAUUUUCCCUGAGCUCCCUCCCUCUUUGUCCCCCACGAGCUCCCACCCUCGCUAUCUGCCCAAACCAAGGAAGCCCGAGCUCAAUUUUUGAACCGAGGUCGCUCCCUCUCUCUAUGAAAGAUAGCAGGGCUCGAGCUCGAACUCGAACCGAGGAAGCCCGAGCUCAAUUUUGAGCUUAUCUUUCAGCCCAAAUCAGCCCCAUCAAAGAAUUAGCAAUGCAAGACCCAGGCCCAGGGGAGCCAUCCUCUUCAUCAGCUCAAAGGCAAGAGAUAUUAAGGAUACUCGUGAUAGGUGAGCCUGUAACCGACAUCAAGCCUGAAGACUAUGUUGCGUUUGUUAAGGAGUAUCUGGGAGAUUGCCCCAAAGACGUCACCCUGAUGCAUCUCAAACAUACAUGGUUGAGGAGUCGAUUCAUCCAACUACCAAAAAAACCAACCAAAUUAUAACUCACGCAACACACACGAGCAUAUCUCUUUUAUUUAGUCGGCACAACUAUAUUUGCCGACUCAUCUAAAGGAUCGACGCCAUCAAUAUCCUUAUAAUUAUUUCGAGAUUUUGAUGAGGCAUGGAAGUUUGCAUGGGGUACUGCGGUGCUUGUUUUUUUGUAUCGUUCGUUGUCUAAGGAUGCCGGUGAGGAAAAUAAUCAUUUUAGUGGGCCAGCGACUUUACUACAGGUGUCUGAUAUACUAGUAGCAGUUUUUUUACCAUGAGAUUGUUGUUUAUGAUGGAUUUUUGAACAAAGAUCAUGGCAGAAGGCGCACCUUGCCCUGGAGGUCCUGAGAUUCCUAUAUUGUUCAAUAACAUAGAGAACAUAUAUAACAGAAGAUCUGGGAAGGAGAUGUAUGUACAAUUGUUUCAAAUUAUAUUCCUCAUCAUGUUGGUUAAUCAUUUUAUUUAUUUUAGUGUUUGAAAUCACAAAUUCCAUUUCAAGAUCGGGAAAAUCCCCUGAGGGUUGAUGAGAAGGCCAAUGCAACUUCUUUAUGGCCUUUAACAAAUAAUGAUCAAAUUGACUCGGUCAAGACAUCAGGAUUGUAUCAUUUGACCAUAAUACGGAUGACUCACUACGAUUGUGACACAUUGUCUAUUAUCAUCGAGAGGUGGUGUGUAGAGACGAACACCAGCCAUUUCAAUGUAGACAUUGGAGAGAUGAUGCCUACUCUUGAA